UUUAUUUAUUUUAUUUCAUUGUCCCCUACAAGAAUAUAUAUGGUUAAGGGGUGGGGAUCUGGAUCGUUCACUAGAUAAUAACCCCCCCCCCUCUUCCUCCCUUUUUCCUCAUUUCAAUCACCCUAAUAUAAAUUUAGUUUUAUCACUUACAAUAGGAAAGGUUUAAAUUCCCCAAUAAUUCUAGUCGGUCAAAUAUAUGAAUAAAUUGAUUUAACCUUUAUACCAUUAAUAUCAUGAAUAUCAACAUAUUUCAUUUUUGAUAACAGAAGGGCAAAAGUUUUCUAUGGGUAGAAAUCGAUUCAAUUCAAUUCAAUAUUUUAUUGGAAAGAGCACAAUAGAGGCGUGAUCCAAAUACAGACAUUUAUAUUUUUAAUAUUUAAUAUUAAAACAACAUACAAAUGAAAUAAAGAUGCAUGUAACAAC
rnacentral:lncRNA from 1 species